rnacentral:lncRNA from 1 species
ACUUGUAAUUAAUUGCUCUUUCAAAACAUUUCCUAUCAUAUUUACCAAUACCCCUCACAAAACACCAUACCUUUUGGAAAAAUUAUUAUACUCAUCAUCAUCAUGACAAGAUAUAACAAAUGCCAUCAUUGACAACCUCACUGUUUAUAGAAUCCCAUCACUUCUAUGUUUGCAUUUCUAAGUAUGAGAACAUUAUAUGUUAUGUAAAUUCUCUAUGACAUCAAUUCACACUAAAAUACCCAAAGUGCACUGAAAUUGCUAUAAAGUAUAAUAUAUUCAGAAAAUAAUGAAGUAAUAAGCUUUUCCUUACCAAGUAUUUCUGACAACUGAAUCACUUUCAGAUAAAAGCUUCCAACUGCUAUAAAGCCCUGGUUGUUAAAUUGUCCAGACAACGGUAAAUUCACAUCCC